rnacentral:rRNA from 1 species
AUGGAACAACGAGACCUCCGUCGUUCCGCGGCCGCCGCCGCCCCUUCCUAUCCAAUCAAGAAAGAGAGUCAUUGUUUCUCAAAGAGAAAGAAAGAUCACCAUCACCAAGUCAGCGGCGGCAUAACGGCGUCUAUGCCCGACGACGUGCUUGCCGACAUCUUCACCCGGUUGCGGGACAUGGCCACCGUUGUCCGCUGCGCCGCCACGUGCCGGCGAUGGGGCCACCUCGUGGCCACCAGGGCAGCGGUCAUCUCCCCCUGCAUGCCGCCCCUCGGCCGCUUCUUCCCCAGCCUUGCCGUUGGUCUCUUCCACCAGGAGAACGACUGGCCGCCCACUACGCGCACAAGGGACCCGCCAUCGCAGCGGCCGUGUUUUAUCGCAACGGCCUCAGGCACACGUUUCAUCCGUGGUGAUGGCCAGAGCUCUUUAGCUAUCUUGGGGCUAGAUGGAGGCGACCGGCUUCUGGACCACUCCCGUCCCAUUGCAUCCCGGAAUGGCCGCCUCGUUCUCGAGCUCCGGCGCAACCAGGAUCAUGAGUCUGAUGGCCUCCGGCUCGCCAUCUGCAACCCAAUGAUGCUUGACAAGAUCGAUGUCAUCCCGCCAUUGGUCUUAGUAGGCAAGAACACUACAAAGAUACUGGACUACGGCUGCGCGUUGCUCACCGGCCACGACCUCAACCCUCCGUGCCACCAAGAUUUUUUCCACAUUCUGCUCAUCUACAGCCACAAUCAUCCUGGCGGGCAGUCCACGGUGCUCCGAUGCUACUCCUCGGAUACGGGGCGCUGGGGACCAGAGACUGAAUCCAUUGUCAAGAUCCCCAUCUCCAAGAUAGGCAAUAUCGGGCCCGCUGUGGUACGCCGCGGGGUGGCAUUCUGGGCUCUCGAACAGGGUGUGCUCGGGGUGCGCCUCGAUUUGAAGGACCACACCAUGGACAUGCACAUGGUGCCUUGCGACACCUCACGCACGGGUCCAAACAACCGACUCAUGGGCAUCUCGCCCGACAACCGGCUCUACUUAAUGUAUUAUGGUUACAUGGGAGCGCCGUUGGGGAAACUUGUGUUGAAGCUAACCUAUCUCGAGUUUCCCAAUGAAGAUGACAUGCAAACCGGCAAGAUAUGUAGAAAAUGCAGAAUUGUGUUGGUGGAGCAAAUGGGGAAACUGAUGAUGGUGGUGACUCGCUAUGUCCGCACCAUCAAGUUGUGGUGGUUUGGCGAGAAGAGCGGCAUCCUGUUGUUCACAAUGGGAGAAGGGAGCGGGCAACCUGGCACCUACAUGUUGAAACUUGAGGAGAAUGCCGUUGAUAAGUUGGCCGAUGAUGGUCACUUAUGGAAAAACUUGCUCGGGUACGAGAUGGAUAUGACGGCGUACCUUACAUCGUUCAGCUCAGGCAUAUAUUCUUCAAACGAGUGA